UCUGAAUUCGCUCAACGUGUCAAAUAAAGGCCUCAACACCAAGGUCCUCUGCAAAAUUGCUACCAAUGAUGUUCUCUACCACUACAGCUUGAGAGGGAGGAGGGAGAAGCGGUCUUUCCAGGUCCUGGUGAUUUGCUGGUAAAUAACCAGUAGGUUCAAUAUUAACCUACACUGAGAGUACAAAACAUUAAGAACACCUUCCUGAUAUUGAGUUGAACCCCCCUCCCCUUUUCCCCUCAGAACAGCCUCAAUUCAUCGGGGCUUGGACUCUACAAGUUGUUGAAAGCGUUCCACAGGGAUACUGGCCCACGUUGACUCCAACGCUUCCCACAGUUGUGUCAAGUUGGCUGGGUGUCCUUUGGGUGGUGGACCGUUCACAAAGGAAACUGUUGAGCGUUAAAAACCCAGCAGCGUUGUAGUUCUUUGACACAAACCCUCUGGCACCUCAAUAUUUUGUCUUGCCAAUUCCCCCUCUGAAUGGCACACAUACACAAUCCAUGUCUCAAGGCUUAAACAUCCUUCUCUAACCUGUCUCCUCCCCCUUCAUUUACAGUGAUAGAAGUGGAUUUAACAAGUGACAUCAAUAAGGGACCAUAGUUUUCACCUGGAUUCACCUGGGCAGUCUGUCAUGAAAAGAGCAGGUGUUCUUAAUGUUUGUCCCACUCAGUGUACACACACUACACACUACACAUCCCCUUACAAUUCAAGUUGAAACUGUGAGAUUUCAUAGGGUCAGAUGUCAAAAUGCACCGAGACAUGCAGAGGUAUGAUUUACACAUUUUUAUUGUUCAGUUUAAAUGCAUUUUAGGUUUUUAUUUUCCCUGUUACGGCAAAGUAUCUAAGAAUAUUCCCGACGUUAAAAAUCUAGUUUGGCCUUCAGAUACAGAUAAUAACGUUUAGGCUGUUUUUCGCGGUUUAUCUUCGUUGUUCUUGUUCUGAAAUGACUGAAGACCUGAAAUGAAGGACAGUACUGUUUAAAUGCUGCUGAUAUCACUUCCUGUUUACAGAUGUAAAAGGCAGAGGUAUGAUGAUGUAGUACACGUUAACUUUCCACUCUACACAUGUUGUGUAUGAUGUAGUACACAUGUUGUGUAUGAUGUAGUACACAUGCCUACCUUCCACUCUACACAACAUUUCAGUUUGACUGAUCUCUAAUGACCUUGGUGAUUCUAAUUGGUAGGUACUGACUGACUAGUUUAACCCAAACAACACAGAGACAGAAAGGUAUGCAGACAGACAGAGGAUCAGAUCACCACAGACAGGUUUGGUCUUUGUUCAUGUCCCCAUCCACUAACACACAGUAGACCGUCCCCAUCCGCUAACAAACAGUAGACCGUCCCCAUCCGCUAACACACAGUAGACCGUCCCCAUCCACUAACACACAGUAUGAGACUCAAAUGACCCAAUAUUACCUGUGUGGUAAGUCAGCCUCGUCAGAGUCAGAAAGGUUGGCUCUGUUUCUCCUGUUUCUGUAGUGUGAGGCAGGACACUAGUCAAUCUCCUGUUUCUGUAGUGAGGCAGGAUGCCAGUCUAUCUCCUGUUUCUGUAGUGUGAGGCAGGACGCUAGUCUAUCGCCUGUUUCUGUAGUGUGAGGCAGGACGCUAGUCUAUCGCCUGUUUCUGUAGUGAGGCAGGAUGCUAGUCUAUCUCCUGUUUCUGUAGUGUGAGGCAGGACACUAGUCAAUCUCCUGUUUCUGUAGUGUGAGGCAGGACACUAGUCAAUCUCCUGUUUCUGUAGUGUGAGGCAGGACACUAGUCAAUCUCCUGUUUCUGUAGUGUGAGGCAGGACGCUAGUCUAUCGCCUGUUUCUGUAGUGAGGCAGGAUGCUAGUCUAUCUCCUGUUUCUGUAGUGUGAGGCAGGACACUAGUCAAUCUCCUGUUUCUGUAGUGUGAGGCAGGACGCUAGUCUAUCGCCUGUUUCUGUAGUGAGGCAGGACGCUAGUCUAUCUCCUGUUUCUGUAGUGUGAGGCAGGACGCUAGUCUAUCUCCUGUUUCUGUAGUGUGAGGCAGGACGCUAGUCUAUCUCCUGUUUCUGUAGUGAGAGGCAGGACAGGACGCUAGUCUAUCUCCUGUUUCUGUAGUGUGAGGCAGGACGCUAGUCUAUCUCCUGUUUCUGUAGUGUGAGGCAGGACGCUAGUCUAUCUCCUGUUUCUGUAGUGUGAGGCAGGACGCUAG
ensembl:lncRNA